rnacentral:rRNA from 1 species
UACGGGGGGGGCAAGCGUUGUUCGGAAUUACUGGGCGUAAAGGGUCUGUAGGUGGCCAAUUAAGUCAGACGUGAAAUCCCUCAGCUUAACUGGGGAACUGCGUCUGAGACUGGAUGGCUCGAGUGCAGGAGAGGAAUGCGGAAUUCCAGGUGUAGCGGUGAAAUGCGUAGAUAUCUGGAGGAACACCGGUGGUGAAGGCGGCAUUCUGGACUGCAACUGACACUGAAAGACGAAAGCCAGGGGAGCAAACGGG